AAAUCAGAUGGAGAAAUUCAAGGCAUUAAGGGUAUUUUACUCAUCACAUGCCCAAUUCCUGCCUACUCCCUGAUGCCUUACAUGUGCAUGGCUCCUUUGUCAUCCCUCACAAGCCUUUCCCUUGCUACUCUUCACCUUCCAUCCCUACAGCACAUCUUCAUUCAGGCUGCUUCUCCAUCAUGCAAAGACAGACAUUGGUUUUAACCAAUUGGAUGCUAUGUUACGUAUUUCUGUGCAAAGGUAGAAAUCACAAAACCUGGUAGAUUUAGACAAACAUCCAAAUGUUUGCAGAGAACGUGUUAAAAAAAAAACAACAAGGGGAUGGGGCAAGGCAAACUGAACUUUGACCGCUAAAAACUGAUGGGUUUUACAGCAUGGACAUUGAACAGAAGUUUGCUUCCUGAGGUUGAGCAUUAAUUUUCUCAGAUAAAGCUAGAAUGUUUGUCCAAAUACACACUAAGUCAACUCAUAAAGUGACUAUUUCUAAACCACAAGGAGCAAAUUGAGUGUCAGAGAUUCUGGGAGAUCACGCAGAAGCAACAGAGAUCGCAGAGUCUAACCAGUCUCAAGAUUCCAGGCAGAAAUAAACCACAGACUGCAGGCUGCCAUCAGACUCCUGUUAAGGGAAGGGAUCUUCUCCAGGACAUAUGUAGCUUUUCUCAAUAUUUAACAAUUCAGAUUUUUCUAAAGUUGAAUACUGUAUUUCUAAUAACACUAAGCAAAUGAUCUUUCAAAUGGAGGUACUCUUUCAACUGCUCGAGUCCCAAAAGACAUGAAGUACAGCAAUCAAGAUACUCACCAAAACAGGACUGAAGUUCAAAGGACAACCAGCAACAGCUGAAGACGAGCCCACAAAAUGGCACUGCCACAAAAGAUCUGCAGCACCCAAGUAAACAACCCUGAGUACGUCAUGAGGAAAAAGAAAGAAGCUAUGAAAGCCAUCACAUGUGAAGCCUAUUUUUGGAAUCAGUAUCAUCUUAGACAAGGAAAUUAGCUACUAAAUGUAAUUACUGGCUAAUGAAGGAAGUCAUAAACAGCUGAAACCACAAACAACUCUAUGAUGCAGAAAAUCAAUAUACUCAGAAAAACAGAGACAAGAAAAUAUCAAUGACUAGUUCAUGCAGGGCCCAAACCUCACCUGGUUUGAGCAGAUGUGGGUGUGUGAAGGGGCUGGGCUGGCCCAAAUACCGGUUUGGAAUCUUCCUCUGCUGGGCAGGCUGGAUGGAAAAUCUUCGGAGAGCACAUGAUUUGCAAACUAGAGGAAAAGAAACGCACCAUGUCAAGGUAAAAAACCCCAAAUCUUUCCAGCUAGGAAACUGCAGAACUGUGGUCUAGUCAUCAGACCCUUAGCAGCAUUUUUUCACUUAUAUGACAUAAAUAUCCCUCCUUAAGGUCUCCAUUUGCUGUGCAUCACAAGUUUAUGAAACAAUGUGCACACAACUCAACUGACAAUCAAAUACUCGUGGAACAGAUAAAAACAAACAUAUUCAUAACAGAAAGAAACGAACAUAUGCUAAACCUGACAAUUCAGCAACAAAACCCAGGAAGCUCUGUUGGUUUGCACAUCCCAAUUCAUACAACUGACAAUCAGGAGGUACUCAGCACUCUCCCUCCCUUGCUUCCUUCAAACACCAAAGGGCUCCAGGCACCACACCUGUAUAUUGUCUCUUCUUGACUAUGUCUUCAAAAAAUUUCUCUCAUUUAGAAAAAUUAUACAGUUUUCAAGGCCUUUCCAGUUCUGUUUUUUAUUGCUAAUGCUGAAAAGAAACCAUCAAAUAACACAGGUUAAUACAGGAAUUUUCCUGUGUGGAGGAUA